rnacentral:rRNA from 1 species
CAAUAGCGUAUAUUAAAGUUGUUGCAGUUAAAAAGCUCGUAGUUGGAUUUCUGGUGGGAGCGAUCGGUCUGGCGCUUAGCGCGAGUACUUGCAUCGUCUCCGGCCAUCCUUGGGGAGAGUCUGUCUGGCAUUAAGUUGUCAGGCAGAGGAUCCUCAUCGUUUACUGUGAAAAAAUUAGAGUGUUCAAAGCAGGCUUAUGCCGUUGAAUAUAUUAGCAUGGAAUAAUAAGAUAGGACUUUGGUACUAUUUUGUUGGUUUGCGCACCAAAGUAAUGAUUAAUAGGGACAGUUGGGGGUAUUCGUAUUCCGUUGUCAGAGGUGAAAUUCUUGGAUUUACGGAAGACGAACUACUGCGAAAGCAUUUACCAAGGAUGUUUUCAUUAA